rnacentral:rRNA from 1 species
GAAUGGACCCGGUCCCAUCUCUUUGGGGAGGCAGCAGGUGGGAUAUGACAAUGGGCCAAGCUAUCCAACAAUGCGGGUGAGGAAAGAAAGCUUCGGGUUGUAAUGUUUUUUGUCAGGAAGAACGUGGAGGCUAUAUCUUUGCUAUGACGUACGUGAAGAUAAGCCCGCUACUACGUGCUAGCAGCGAGUAAUACGUAGGGUGCAGCGUAUCGAAUACUGGCGUAAAGCGUGCGCAGCGGUUUGUAAGUUGUCGUGAAAUCCCUGAGCUCAUCUGGGAAUGCGAUGAAGACUGCAAGACUAGAGUCUGGCAGAGGGGAGUAGAAUUCCACGUGUAGCAGUGAAAUGCGUAGAUAUGUGGAGGAACACCGAUGGCGAAGGCAGCCCAUGGGUCAAACUGACGCUCAUGCACGAAAGCGUGGGGAGCAAACAGGAUUAGAUACCAUGGUAGUCCACGCCCUAAACGAUGUCUACUAGUUGUCGGGUCUUAAUUGACUUGGUAACGCAGCUAACGCGUGAAGUAGACCGUUGGGGAGUACGGUCGCAAGAUUAAAACUCAAAGGAAUUGACGGGGACCCGCACAAGCGGUGGAUGAUGUGGAUUAAUUCGAUGCAACGCGAAAAACCUUACCUACCCUUGACAUGGCUGGAAUCCUUGAGAGAUCAGGGAGUGCCCGAAAGGGAGCCAGUACACAGGUGCUGCAUGGCUGUCGUCAGCUCGUGUCGUGAGAUGUUGGGUUAAGUCCCGCAACGAGCGCAACCCUUGUCAUUAGUUGCUACGAAAGAGCACUCUAAUGAGACUGCCGGUGACAAACCGGAGGAAGGUGGGGAUGACGUCAAGUCAUCAUGCCCCUUAUAUCUAGGGCUACACACGUGCUACAUUGGCGCGUACAGAGGGCUGCGAUACCGCGAGGUGGAGCGAAUCCCUUAAAGCGCGUCUCGGUUCGGAUUGCAGGCUGAAACCCGCCUGCAUGAAGGCGGAGUUGCUAGUAAUCGCGGAUCAGCAUUGCCGCGGUGAAUACGUUCCCGGGCCUUGUACACACCGCCCGUCACACCAUGGAAGCAAGCAACACCCGAAGCCGGUGGCCUAACCCCUUGUGGGAGGGAGCCGUCGAAGGUGUACUACUAUCCGAC